rnacentral:rRNA from 1 species
AUUGAACGCUGGCGGCAGGCUUAACACAUGCAAGUCGAGCGGGGUGAUGGUGCUUGCACUAUCACUUAGCGGCGGACGGGUGAGUAAUGCUUAGGAAUCUGCCUAUUAGUGGGGGACAACAUCUCGAAAGGGAUGCUAAUACCGCAUACGUCCUACGGGAGAAAGCAGGGGAUCACUUGUGACCUUGCGCUAAUAGAUGAGCCUAAGUCGGAUUAGCUAGUUGGUGGGGUAAGGCCUACCAAGGCGACGAUCUGUAGCGGGUCUGGGAGGAUGAUCCGCCACACUGGGACUGAGACACGGCACAGACUCCUACGGGAGGCAGCAGUGGGGAAUAUUGGACAAUGGGGGGAACCCUGAUCCAGCCAUGCCGCGUGUGUGAAGAAGGCCUUAUGGUUGUAAAGCACUUUAAGCGAGGAGGAGGCUCUUUUGGUUAAUACCCAAGAUGAGUGGACGUUACUCGCAGAAUAAGCACCGGCUAACUCUGUGCCAGCCGCCGCCGUAA